rnacentral:rRNA from 1 species
AUUGAACGCUGGCGGCAUGCCUUACACAUGCAAGUCGAACGGUAACAGGUCUUCGGAUGCUGACGAGUGGCGAACGGGUGAGUAAUGCAUCGGAACGUGCCCAGUCGUGGGGGAUAACGCAGCGAAAGCUGCGCUAAUACCGCAUACGAUCUGUGGAUGAAAGCGGGGGACCGUAAGGCCUCGCGCGAUUGGAGCGGCCGAUGUCAGAUUAGGUAGUUGGUGGGGUAAAGGCUCACCAAGCCGACGAUCUGUAGCUGGUCUGAGAGGACGACCAGCCACACUGGGACUGAGACACGGCCCAGACUCCUACGGGAGGCAGCAGUGGGGAAUUUUGGACAAUGGGCGCAAGCCUGAUCCAGCAAUGCCGCGUGCAGGAAGAAGGCCUUCGGGUUGUAAACUGCUUUUGUACGGAACGAAAAGGCUCUGGUUAAUACCUGGAGCUCAUGACGGUACCGUAAGAAUAAGCACCGGCUAACUACGUGCCAGCCGCCGCGGUAAUAC